CAGGUAAGAGCUCAGGACCUCCUCUGUGUUUCCUGUGAAAAACCAGCUCGUAGGAUCUUAGUCGUGCUACUAAGGGAAAUCACUGGUUUUUUCUCUUUCUCCUUCUUGCAUGCCUUUAUUCUUCGAAUUGAUGGGGCCGAUUUAGUUCCCAGAUAAGUCUCGGCAGCCAAAAACAACUCAUCACAGUAGUUAUCCGGUCCAUAUUCUUCUAUAACAAGAGUGAAUUGUGGACGGAAAAGAUGAGCAAAUAUGCGAAGAUUGGCAGCUGUUGGAAUCAGUACUGCUGAAGCUGCAAGAGAAGCUACCACAGAAAGAACUGUUUUUGUAUUUGGCAAGUUCUGGAGAGACACCAAUCUUGAGACUUGUUAAUGCAAGGUUGGUUAUCAAAUAAACGAUUAUGAUGAAGCUAGUGAAGGAAGCUCUGUAAAUGAUACCUAAAGUUCCAUUAAGAAACUAGAGAGAAAUGUGAUCAAGGUGUCUUCAGUGAGGUUUAUGGUGCAAAUUAAAGCCAAUAAAAA